rnacentral:snRNA from 1 species
AUGCUCUCUCACUUGGGAAGCAUGUAUAUCGAAAUUGGAAUGAUUACAAAGAAGAUUAACAUAGUCCCUACGCAAGGAUGAUAUAAAUUUGUGAAGCAAUUCAUAUAAAA